rnacentral:lncRNA from 1 species
CUUAGGAAGCCACCAGUGUUGCAGAGUGGGGUCCUCGGACACCUGCAAGUGAGACGCCGGCUCCCCGUGCGGAUGGUCCCAUGCUCUGCUGUGCCUCCUCAGGCUGCUUCCUGCCCACCCUGGUCCUGCCGCCUCCGUCUUCCGUCUGGGACAGGAGACCUCCGUGUGGGAACACACCAGGGACUUCUCUGGCUCCCACGCUUCCUGGGGAGAACCCAGGGGCACAGAGAGGUUGGGUGCUCCUGAUCUCGGGGGAGGGAGGUCACAGAGGGACAGCUGAGCCUUGGGGUCCAGUGAGCCUCCUGCGGCUCCCGCGUGGGGAGUGGUCCUCCCCAGGCAGCGCCAGGCUCGCAGGCAAGGAGCUGCUGUCCCUCCCGUGGCAAAGCCGGGCAGAGAGCCAACUUUUGAGGAAGAGCUUCACAGUUCCUGGAGCCAGGAGGGGACAGGGAGGGGGACGCGGGGGAGGAGGGUGACAGCUUCCCAUCCAUCCGUCAGCCUCGACAGGCUGCUGAAAGGAAGGGGAGGGAGCAGGGGCGGCUGCCAGGAGGCCCGGG